UGGAUCCAGACUUUGAUCAUGGCUCAGGAUGAACGCUAGCUACAGGCUUAACACAUGCAAGUCGAGGGGAAACGAUAGAGAAAGCUUGCUUUUUCUAGGCGUCGACCGGCGCACGGGUGAGUAACGCGUAUCCAACCUGCCCACCACUUGGGAAUAACCUUGCGAAAGUAAGACUAAUACCCAAUGACGUCUCUAGAAGACAUCUGAAAGAGAUUAAAGAUUUAUCGGUGAUGGAUGGGGAUGCGUCUGAUUAGCUUGUUGGCGGGGUAACGGCCCACCAAGGCGACGAUCAGUAGGGGUUCUGAGAGGAAGGUCCCCCACAUUGGAACUGAGACACGGUCCAAACUCCUACGGGAGGCAGCAGUGAGGAAUAUUGGUCAAUGGGCGAGAGCCUGAACCAGCCAAGUAGCGUGCAGGAAGACGGCCCUAUGGGUUGUAAACUGCUUUUAUAAGGGAAUAAAGUGAGUCUCGUGAGACUUUUUGCAUGUACCUUAUGAAUAAGGACCGGCUAAUUCCGUGCCAGCAGCCGCGGUAAUACGGAAGGUCCGGGCGUUAUCCGGAUUUAUUGGGUUUAAAGGGAGCGUAGGCCGGAGAUUAAGCGUGUUGUGAAAUGUAGACGCUCAACGUCUGCACUGCAGCGCGAACUGGUUUCCUUGAGUACGCACAAAGUGGGCGGAAUUCGUGGUGUAGCGGUGAAAUGCUUAGAUAUCACGAAGAACUCCGAUCGCGAAGGCAGCUCACUGGAGCGCAACUGACGCUGAAGCUCGAAAGUGCGGGUAUCGAACAGGAUUAGAUACCCUGGUAGUCCGCACGGUAAACGAUGGAUGCCCGCUGUUGGUCUGAAUAGGUCAGCGGCCAAGCGAAAGCAUUAAGCAUCCCACCUGGGGAGUACGCCGGCAACGGUGCAACUCAAAGGAAUUGACGGA
rnacentral:rRNA from 1 species